GUCCCUAUAGUGCAAUGGGAAGCACGUUGGACUUCUAAUUCAAAGGUUGUGGGUUCGAAUCCCAUCCAUUUUUUGAGGAUG